GGGCGCGUAGCUCAGGGGUAGAGCACCCGCCUUACAAGCGGGUGGCCGCAGGUUCGAAACCUGCCGCGCCCACCU
rnacentral:tRNA from 2 species